rnacentral:rRNA from 1 species
GACAGAGGGUGCAAACGUUGUUCGGAAUUACUGGGCGUAAAGCGCGUGUAGGCUGCUCGGAAAGUCGGAUGUGAAAGCCCUGGGCUUAACCCAGGAAGAGCAUUCGAAACUCCCGAGCUUGAGUACCGGAGAGGAAGGCGGAAUUCUCGGUGUAGAGGUGAAAUUCGUAGAUAUCGAGAGGAACACCUGUGGCGAAGGCGGCCUUCUGGACGGUUACUGACGCUGAGACGCGAAAGCGUGGGGAGCAAACGGG